AUUGAACGCUGGCGGCAGGCCUAACACAUGCAAGUCGAGCGGAGAGGAGGAGGGGGGAGUAUUGCCUAGGAAUCUGCAUGGUAGUGGGGGAUAGCGUCCGGUAACCGGCGCUAAUACCGCAUACUAUCAGAUGAGCCUAGGUCGGAUUAGCUAGUUGGUGGGGUAAAGGCCUACCAAGGCGACGAUCCGUAACUGGUCUGAGAGGAUGAUCAGUCACACUGGAACUGAGACACGGCCCAGACUCCUACGGGAGGCAGCAGUGGGGAAUAUUGGACAAUGGGCGAAAGCCUGAUCCAGCCAUGCCGCGUGUGUGAAGAAGGUCUUCGGAUUGUAAAGCACUUUAAGUAGGGAAGCGUUACCAGCAGAAUAAGCACCGGCUAACUUCGUGCCAGCAGCCGCGGUAAUAC
rnacentral:rRNA from 1 species